rnacentral:ncRNA from 1 species
UCAAAAGCUAUGAAGAGAAGAGUAGUUAUUAUGGAAGCUUACAGAGAAUUCCUGGUGGUGAAAAGGAAUGGUGAAAAUUUUAAUGAAACAAGUCUUGGAGCCUCAUACGGAUUUCAUUUUAAAUGAAUGAUGCUAUGACGUUUGUUCACGUUACAGAACUAGAGUAUAAUUGUACUUGAUGAGAUUAAUAUGGUGACAUGUUAAUGAAUUAGGGUGGUAACGCGAUAUAUAAUUCGCCCCUACA